AGGACGAACGCUGGCGGCGUGCUUAACACAUGCAAGUCGAACGGAAAGGCCCUUCGGGGUACUCGAGUGGCGAACGGGUGAGUAACACGUGGGUGAUCUGCCCUGCACUUUGGGAUAAGCCUGGGAAACUGGGUCUAAUACCGAAUAUGACUACGCACUUCCUGGUGUGUGGUGGAAAGCUUUUUGCGGUGUGGGAUGGGCCCGCGGCCUAUCAGCUUGUUGGUGGGGUAAUGGCCUACCAAGGCGACG
rnacentral:rRNA from 1 species